rnacentral:rRNA from 1 species
GGCUCAGGACGAACGCUGGCGGCGUGCCUAACACAUGCAAGUCGAACGGAGCUGAGAAGCUUGCUUUCAGCUUAGUGGCGGACGGGUGAGUAACGCGUGAGUAACCUGCCUCCGAGAGUGGAAUAACGUUUUGAAAAGAACGUUAAUACCGCAUAACGUAUCAGCAUCGCAUGGUGUUGAUACCAAAGAUUUUAUCGCUCGGAGAUGGACUCGCGUCCGAUUAGUUAGUUGGUGAGGUAACGGCUCACCAAGACCGCGAUCGGUAGCCGGACUGAGAGGUUGAUCGGCCACAUUGGGACUGAGACACGGCCCAGACUCCGUACGGGAGGCAGCAGGUGGGGGAUAUUGCGCAAGUGGGGGCCAAACCCCUGACGCAGCAACGCCGCGUGAAGGAUGUAAGGUUUUCGGAUUAGUUAAACUUCUUUUAUCAGGGACGAAAAACGACGGUACCUGAUGAAUAAGCUCCGGCUAACUACGUGCCAGCCGCCGC